ACGAACGCUGGCGGCGUGCCUAAUACCUGCAAGUUGAGCGCUGAAGGUUGGUACUUGUACCAACUGGAUGAGCAGCGAACGGGUGAGUAACGCGUGGGGAAUCUGCCUUUGAGCGGGGGACAACAUUUGGAAACGAAUGCUAAUACCGCAUAAAAACUUUAAACACAAGUUUUAAGUUUGAAAGAUGCAAUUGCAUCACUCAAAGAUGAUCCCGCGUUGUAUUAGCUAGUUGGUGAGGUAAAGGCUCACCAAGGCGAUGAUACAUAGCCGACCUGAGAGGGUGAUCGGCCACAUUGGGACUGAGACACGGCCCAAACUCCUACGGGAGGCAGCAGUAGGGAAUCUUCGGCAAUGGACGAAAGUCUGACCGAGCAACGCCGCGUGAGUGAAGAAGGUUUUCGGAUCGUAAAACUCUGUUGGUAGAGAAGAACGUUGGUGAGAGCGGAAAGCUCAUCAAGUGACGGUAACUACCCAGAAAGGGACGGCUAACUACGUG
rnacentral:rRNA from 1 species